CAAAUUAGAGCUUGAAAAAGUAUUUCAUUUACAUUGAAAGGAUAUUAUUAUUAUUAUAAUUAAUUUGU
rnacentral:tRNA from 1 species